CCUACGGGAGGCAGCAGUGGGGGAUAUUGGACAAUGGGGGGAACCCUGAUCCAGCGACGCCGCGUGAGUGAAGAAGUAUCUCGGUAUGUAAAGCUCUAUCAGCAGGGAAGAAGAAAUGACGGUACCUGAGUAAGAAGCCCCGGCUAACUACGUGCCAGCAGCCGCGGUAAUACGUAGGGGGCAAGCGUUAUCCGGAUUUACUGGGUGUAAAGGGGGCGCAGACGGCAAUGCAAGCCAGGAGGGAAAGCCCGGGGCCCAACCCCGGGACUGCUCUUGGAACUGCAUGGCUGGAGUACAGGAGGGGCAGGCGGAAUGCAUGGUGUAGCGGUGAAAUGCGUAGAUAUUAGGCGGAACACCGAUGGCGAAGGCGGCCUGCUGAGCUGUGACUGACGUUGAGGCCCGAAGGCGUGGGGAGCAAACAGGAUUAGAUACCCCAGUAGUC
rnacentral:rRNA from 1 species